GAUGAACGCUGGCGGCGUGCCUAAUACAUGCAAGUCGAGCGAACAGACGAGUAGCUUGCUCCUCUGACGUUAGCGGCGGACUGGUGAGUAACACGUGGAUAACCUACCUAUAAUACUGGGAUAACUUCGGGAAACCGGAGCUAAUACCGGAUAAUAUAUUGAACCGCAUGGUUCAAUAGUGAAAGACGGUUUUGCUGUCACUUAUAGAUGGAUCCGCGCCGCAUUAGCUAGUUGGUAAGGUAACGGCCUACCAAGGCAACGAUGCGUAGCCGACCUGAGAGGAUGGUCGGCAACACUGAAACAGAGAGAAGGAACAGACUCCGAAGGGAGGCAGCAGUAGGGAAUAUUCAGCAAAGGGAGAAAGACUGACGGAACAACGCCGCGUGAGUGAUGAAGGUCUUCGAAACGUAAAACACUGGUAAUAGGAAAGAAAAAAUGAAUAAGUAAAUAUACAAGUCUUGAAGGUACAAAAUCAGAAAGCAAAGGCUAACUACGAG
rnacentral:rRNA from 1 species